UUGCAGAAUUCCGCGAAUCAUCGAGUUUUUGAACGCAAGUUGCGCCCGAGGCUUGACCAAGGGCAUCUCUGCCAGAGCGUCACCGCGACAC
rnacentral:rRNA from 1 species